rnacentral:rRNA from 1 species
GAUGAACGCUGGCGGCGUGCCUAAUACAUGCAAGUCGAGCGAACGGACGAGAAGCUUGCUUCUCUGAUGUUAGCGGCGGACGGGUGAGUAACACGUGGAUAACCUACCUAUAAGACUGGGAUAACUUCGGGAAACCGGAGCUAAUACCGGAUAAUAUUUUGAACCGCAUGGUUCAAAAGUGAAAGACGGUCUUGCUGUCACUUAUAGAUGGAUCCGCGCUGCAUUAGCUAGUUGGUAAGGUAACGGCUUACCAAGGCAACGAUGCAUAGCCGACCUGAGAGGGUGAUCGGCCACACUGGAACUGCGACACGGUCCAGACUCCUACGGGAGGCAGCAGUAGGGAAUCUUCCGCAAAGGGCGAAAGCCUGACGGAGCAACGCCGCGUGAGUGAUGAAGGUCUUCGGAUCGUAAAACUCUGUUAUUAGGGAAGAACAUAUGUGUAAGUAACUGUGCACAUCUUGACGGUACCUAAUCAGAAAGCCACGGCUAACUACGUG